UACAGAGGGGGCAAGCGUUGUUCGGAAUUACUGGGCGUAAAGGGCGCGUAGGCGGCCUGUUAAGUCGAACGUGAAAUCCCCGGGCUCAACCCGGGAACUGCGUCCGAUACUGGCAGGCUUGAAUCCGGGAGAGGGAUGCGGAAUUCCAGGUGUAGCGGUGAAAUGCGUAGAUAUCAGGAGGAACACCGAUGGCGAAGGCAGGUCUCUGGGCCACUACUGACGCUGAGAAGCGAAAGCAUGGGGAGCGAACAGG
rnacentral:rRNA from 1 species